AUUCAGUUGCUCUCGGCAGAGUAAAAUGAUGUCUUACCAAAAAAUCCAUGUCUGUAAAGUACAUCUCGGAUAAAAAGAAUAAAUAUGCCUAUGGUGUCCAAGCUUGACCGAUUGAAAUUAUAAGAGAUGCUGUAGUAACAAGUUUCGAAUGUAAAAAUUAGACCUUAAUAUGGAACAACAGUACAAGAUGUCUAUAGCUAG